UAGCUCCUGCUGUGCUCGUUAGAAUAGGUUUAUAUUGAGCCAACACAUAAGUUAAAGGGAAUCGGACUCUUUUUGUAGAUUUGACGCUUAAAUUCUAUUUAAGAACAAGGAAACAAAAAGGAGAUGCCCACCUGCAAAGGCAGGUUCAAACAUGACCUAUUUCGGCGGCAUGGCGGGGAUUGU
rnacentral:other from 1 species